GAUGAACGCUAGCGGCAGGCUUAAUACAUGCAAGUCGAGGGGCAGCAGUCCCGCAGCAAUGCGGGAGCUGGCGACCGGCAAACGGGUGCGGAACACGUACAGAACCUUCCUUCGAGCGGGGAAUAGCCCAGAGAAAUUUGGAUUAAUACCCCAUAGCAUUACGAAGUGGCAUCACUUUGUAAUUAAAGAUUUACCACUCGAAGAUGGCUGUGCGGCUGAUAGGUAGUUGGCGGAGUAACGGCCCACCAAGCCUUCGAUCAGUAACUGGUGUGAGAGCACGACCAGUCACACGGGCACUGAGACACGGGCCCGACUCCUACGGGAGGCAGCAGUAAGGAAUAUUGGUCAAUGGACGAAAGUCUGAACCAGCCAUG
rnacentral:rRNA from 1 species